GCUGGGCAUGGUGGUGCAUACCUGUAAUCCCAGUGACUGGGGAGGCUGAGGCAGGAGGAUCUUAAGUUUGAAAUCAGCCUUAGCAACUUGGUGACACACUGUCUCAA
rnacentral:sRNA from 1 species